rnacentral:rRNA from 1 species
UGGGGAAUAUUGCACAAUGGGCGCAAGCCUGAUGCAGCCAUGCCGCGUGUAUGAAGAAGGCCUUCGGGUUGUAAAGUACUUUCAGCGGGGAGGAAGGGAGUAAAGUUAAUACCUUUGCUCAUUGACGUUACCCGCAGAAGAAGCACCGGCUAACUCCGUGCCAGCAGCCGCGGUAAUACGGAGGGUGCAAGCGUUAAUCGGAAUUACUGGGCGUAAAGCGCACGCAGGCGGUUUGUUAAGUCAGAUGUGAAAUCCCCGGGCUCAACCUGGGAACUGCAUCUGAGACUGGCAAGCUUGAGUCUCGUAGAGGGGGGUAGAAUUCCAGGUGUAGCGGUGAAAUGCGUAGAGAUCUGGAGGAAUACCGGUGGCGAAGGCGGCCCCCUGGACGAAGACUGACGCUCAGGUGCGAAAGAGUGGGGAGCAAACAGG